rnacentral:rRNA from 1 species
GAUGAACGCUGGCGGCGUGCCUAAUACAUGCAAGUCGAGCGAACAGACGAGGAGCUUGCUCCUCUGACGUUAGCGGCGGACGGGUGAGUAACACGUGGAUAACCUACCUAUAAGACUGGGAUAACUUCGGGAAACCGGAGCUAAUACCGGAUAAUAUAUUGAACCGCAUGGUUCAAUAGUGAAAGACGGUUUUGCUGUCACUUAUAGAUGGAUCCGCGCCGCAUUAGCUAGUUGGUAAGGUAACGGCUUACCAAGGCAACGAUGCGUAGCCGACCUGAGAGGGUGAUCGGCCACACUGGAACUGAGACACGGUCCAGGCUCCUAAGGGAGGCAGCAGUAGGGAAUCUUCCGCAAUGGGCGAAAGCCUGACGGAGCAACGCCGCGUGAGUGAUGAAGGUCUUCGGGUCGUAAAACUCUGUUAUUAGGGAAGAACAAAUGUGUAAGUAACUAUGCACGUCUUGACGGUACCUAAUCAGAAAGCCACGGCUAACUACGUG